AUACGCUGGCGGCAGGCUAACACAUGCAAGUCGAGCGGAUGAAAGGAGCUUGCUCCUGGAUUCAGCGGCGGACGGGUGAGUAAUGCCUAGGAAUCUGCCUGGUAGUGGGGGACAACGUUUCGAAAGGAACGCUAAUACCGCAUACGUCCUACGGGAGAAAGCAGGGGACCUUCGGGCCUUGCGCUAUCAGAUGAGCCUAGGUCGGAUUAGCUAGUUGGUGAGGUAAUGGCUCACCAAGGCGACGAUCCGUAACUGGUCUGAGAGGAUGAUCAGUCACACUGGAACUGAGACACGGUCCAGACUCCUACGGGAGGCAGCAGUGGGGAAUAUUGGACAAUGGGCGAAAGCCUGAUCCAGCCAUGCCGCGUGUGUGAAGAAGGUCUUCGGAUUGUAAAGCACUUUAAGUUGGGAGGAAGGGUUGUACGAUUAAUACUCUGCAAUUUUGACGUUACCGACAGAAUAAAGCACCGGACUAAACUCUGUGCCAGNCAACCGCGGGNAAUACAGAGGGUGCAANNCGUUACNUCGGAAAUUACUAGGGCAGUAAAGCAGCGACGUAGAUGGUNAGCCAUAAGUCGGCUGU
rnacentral:rRNA from 1 species